rnacentral:sRNA from 1 species
AUGUGAUUGGUGCCCUCUGGCACCCUGACUCCUGUGAAGCUGUGAAUCCUACUCGAUUCCGAGCUGUCUUCCAGAAAUAUGUUCCCUCCUUCUCUGGAUACAGCCAGCAGGAUGCCCAAGAGUUCCUGAAGCUCCUCAUGGAGCGGCUACACCUUGAAAUCAACCGCCGAGGCCGCCGGGCUCCACCAAUACUUGCCAAUGGUCCAGUUCCCUCUCCACCCCGCCGAGGAGGGGCUCUGCUAGAAGAACCUGAGUUAAGUGAUGAUGACCGAGCCAACCUAAUGUGGAAACGUUACCUGGAGCGAGAGGACAGCAAGAUUGUGGACCUGUUUGUGGGCCAGUUGAAAAGUUGUCUCAAGUGCCAGGCCUAAAGGAUUUGCUGGGGGCAAGGUGUCUCUGCGGGAUUGUUUCAACCUUUUCACUAAGGAAGAAGAGCUAGAGUCGGAGAAUGCCCCAGUGUGUGACCGAUGUCGGCAGAAAACUCGAAGUACCAAAAAGUUGACAGUACAAAGAUUCCCUCGAAUCCUCGUGCUCCAUAUCCUAAUCUUCAGAUUCUUACUUCUCUUAGGAUACCUCCCAUACAUUCUCUUUCCUCCAUGUUUCCAGAGAAUUGAAUUUUCCUUAGGAAAAGUCUGCCACCCACUUUUCCACAAGAUGCUCCCAGUGUGUCGGGAGUGGGGAGAGGACAGCUUUCAGGAUAGAAGAAGUUCCCCUCAGAGGCCCACUGCCUCCCAAAUGCUCCUUA